GGAAGGAUCAUUACUAAGCUAAAAAAGCAAAUUGAAAAAAAAAAUUAUUUGAUUGGUGGUUGGUUUGUUGGUUGGUUGAUUAGUUUAUCUAAUCAAAAAAAUUAUCUCUGUGCCUUAAAUGUUUGGUAAAGAAAUUUACCAAAUAAAAAACUCAGUGCUGUUCCAAAAUACAACUCUAGGGGGUGGAUGAUUUGGUUCUUGUCUCGAUGAAGAACGCAGCGAAAUGUGAUAAGUGAGAUGAAAUGCAUCAGCAUGAAUCUCAAUUUUUGAACGCAAUCGGCGCUCUCUAUCCUUAUUAAGGAUAGUAGGGCAUGUUUAAUUGAGACCCUUUUUUAAACACUAUCCAAAAAAUAAAUUUAUUUAUUUCUGGGAUGUUGGGGAUUGAAAUUUGAUCAUUCCCUUAAAUGAUAUCAAUUACUUUUUUUUAGAAAAAACCAUAUCCUUUUUUUUUCAUAAGGAAAAUUUUAAGGGGGAUUUUUUUCCUUUUUUUUACUUUCCUUUUGAGAAAAGAGUAAAAAGUUUUUUUUAAUAUAUGAAAAGUUUUUGAAAUCAUUCUGAAAAUUGGUUUUUAAUAAGACCUUUUUCAGAAAAAAUAAUAGGGGCGGGGAGAAAAAAAAGAUUUUUUUCUUUUUUUUAAACCCCCCUUUUUAUUUUUCUUUUCUUAAUAAGGGCUCAAUUUAAACAUGAAAACCUCCUCAACUUAAGCAUAUUAUUAGGGAGAGGAAAAGAAAUCAACUGAGAUUCCCUUAGUAACUGCGAGUGAAGAGGGAAUAGCUCAUCCCGAAUCUGUUGGUAUUCAUUUAUCAACCGAGGUGUGGGGUACGGAGUACUCUUUCUUCUAACAAAUUGACCGAAUUCCCUUGAAAGGGAAACCAUAGAAGGUGACAGUCCUGUAGGUCGAUUUUUGUUGGGAUUUAAAGAGUAUUUCUUUGAGUAGGAUUGUUUGGGAGUACAAUCCGAAUAUGGGUGAUACGUUUCAUCUAAAGCUAAAUACGAGGCAAGAAACCGAUAGAAUACAAGUACCGUGAGGGAAAAUUGAAAAGUACUCUGAAAAGAGAGUAAAAAGGACCUGAAACCUUCUAGAGGAAUGCGGUUAGUCGUGAUCUAAAUAAGCUGUUUUUAGGAUCUGGAGAUCCUUUUUUUAAAUAAGUAGAAUAAGGGAGAUUUUUUUAAAAAAGUCCCCUGUUUUAUUUUUUUUAGGAAAAGUGGUUUUCAUAUUCCUAGGGACAGCGAAAGGGGGGGUAUUAGGAUAUGGUGUUUUAGGUUUUUGAUUAGAGGUAACCAUCAUUGGUGGUGAAUAUUUUCGGAAUUCUAAACAUCUGUGUCCUAAUUUUAGUGAAUCAAAAGAUUCAAUAGUUUAAUUUUGUUCCUUUCAAAAAAAAGGAAUAGUUAAACAUAUCUCUCUCUUUCACCAUGAAAGAUCAGGCUAACUGUCCCGUCUUGAAACACGGGCCAAGGAGUCUAUUUGAUGUGCGAGUGUUUGGAGUUUUGAUUCAACUCUAAUCGCGAAAGGAAACUUAUUUUUUAUGAAUUGGAUCCUGUUUUUUUAAUAAGAUAGGUGCACAAUUACCCUAAUCCUAUUUCGUAUAGAAUUUAGGGUGGAGCAUAUCAAAUAGAACCCGAAAGAUGGCGAACUAUGCCUUUGCAGAAUAAAGCCGGAAGAAAUUCUGGUGGAGGUUCGUAGCGAUAUUGACGUGCAAAUCAUUCGUCCGACAUGGGUAUAGCGGCGAAAGACUAAUCGAGCCAUCUAGUAGCUGGUUCCUUC
rnacentral:misc_RNA from 1 species